UACGUAGGGGGCGAGCGUUGUCCGGAUUUAUUGGGCGUAAAGAGCGUUUAGGCGGUUCGGUAAGUCUGUCGUGAAAUCCUGAGGCUCAACCUCGGGCGUGCGAUGGAUACUGCCGGGCUAGAGGGUGGUAGAGGCGAGUGGAAUUCCCGGUGUAGCGGUGAAAUGCGCAGAUAUCGGGAGGAACACCAGUAGCGAAGGCGGCUCGCUGGGCCACACCUGACGCUGAGACGCGAAAGCUAGGGGAGCGAACAGG
rnacentral:rRNA from 1 species